GCAAGUCGAACGGCAGCGCGGGGCAACCUGGCGGCGAGUGGCGAACGGGUGAGUAAUAUAUCGGAACGUACCCAGGAGUGGGGGAUAACGUAGCGAAAGUUACGCUAAUACCGCAUACGACCUAAGGGUGAAAGUGGGGGAUCGCAAGACCUCAUGCUCAUGGAGCGGCCGAUAUCUGAUUAGCUAGUUGGUGGGGUAAAGGCUCACCAAGGCAACGAUCAGUAGCUGGUCUGAGAGGACGACCAGCCACACUGGAACUGAGACACGGUCCAGACUCCUACGGGAGGCAGCAGUGGGGAAUUUUGGACAAUGGGGGCAACCCUGAUCCAGCAAUGCCGCGUGAGUGAAGAAGGCCUUCGGGUUGUAAAGCUCUUUUGUCAGGGAAGAAACGACCCCCUCUAAUACAGGGGGUUAAUGACGGUACCUGAAGAAUAAGCACCGGCUAACUACGUGCCAGCAGCCGCGGUAAUACGUAGGGUGCAAGCGUUAAUCGGAAUUACUGGGCGUAAAGCGUGCGCAGGCGGUUUUGUAAGACUGUCGUGAAAUCCCCGGGCUUAACCUGGGAAUGGCGAUGGUGACUGCAAGGCUAGAGUUUGGCAGAGGGGGGUAGAAUUCCACGUGUAGCAGUGAAAUGCGUAGAGAUGUGGAGGAACACCGAUGGCGAAGGCAGCCCCCUGGGUCAAAACUGACGCUCAUGCACGAAAGCGUGGGGAGCAAACAGGAUUAGAUACCCUGGUAGUCCACGCCCUAAACGAUGUCUACUAGUUGUCGGGUCUUAAUUGACUUGGUAACGCAGCUAACGCGUGAAGUAGACCGCCUGGGGAGUACGGUCGCAAGAUUAAAACUCAAAGGAAUUGACGGGGACCCGCACAAGCGGUGGAUGAUGUGGAUUAAUUCGAUGCAACGCGAAAAACCUUACCUACCCUUGACA
rnacentral:rRNA from 1 species